rnacentral:rRNA from 1 species
UACGUAGGGUGCGAGCGUUAAUCGGAAUUACUGGGCGUAAAGCGUGCGCAGGCGGUUUUGUAAGCCAGAUGUGAAAUCCCCGGGCUCAACCUGGGAACUGCAUUUGGGACUACAAGGCUAGAGUGUGUCAGAGGGGGGUAGAAUUCCACGUGUAGCAGUGAAAUGCGUAGAGAUGUGGAGGAAUACCGAUGGCGAAGGCAGCCCCCUGGGUCGAUACUGACGCUCAUGCACGAAAGCGUGGGGAGCAAACAGG